rfam:Heligmosomoides polygyrus genome assembly, scaffold: HPBE_contig0005411
GCGCCGGUGGUGUAAGAUGUAGUAUCGCUGCCCGGAAAGCAGAAGAUGCGGGUUCCAGUCUCGCCUGGCGCA